GCCGAGCCCGUUAGCGUUGGCUUGUAACCCGAGCGGGGGCGAUCGGUUGUGGAAUGGCAUGUUGUGCUCGAGUAGGUUGGGUGCGGCCGCACAUUACUCGGCUCGCCCAUUCUAAGUCAGGCAGAUGUUCUAUGUGAUCUUGGCGAAGGCCUAAGUCUCAUAGGAUCCUAAAGCGGAGGGCACCGCGUCAGGCUGGCUUCACAGAGCAUCGACAACCUCCCGCUCUUGAUGGUAGAAGGAUAACAGGCCGUCGUACGUCGCACCCACCAUGCCUACCGAGCUGACACUGACCAAACCACCACCUUU
rnacentral:SRP_RNA from 1 species